rnacentral:rRNA from 1 species
UUUGAAUAAAAGUAGUUAAGUUCUCCAUAACUCAAAAAAUUUGGCGGCUGAUUAUAUUUUAGAGGAACCUGUCUUUUAAUUGAUAAACCACGUUAAUGUCUACCUUAAUUUUAUUUGUAUACCUCUAUAUAAAUUAAUUUUUUAAAAGAAUAUUUUUUUUUAGAAAUCUCAACAAAAUUAGGUCAAGGUGCAGUUUUAUUAAGGUAAAUAUGGGUUACAUUAAUUUUUAUAUAAAAAAUUAAAUUUUUAUAAAAAAUAUUUAUUAAAGAAUUUAAUAGUAAUAUAAAUUUAUUAAUUUAUAUGAAUAUU